CGAGUGGCGGACGGGUGAGUAAUGUCUGGGAAACUGCCCGAUGGAGGGGGAUAACUACUGGAAACGGUAGCUAAUACCGCAUAAUGUCUACGGACCAAAGCGGGGGACCUCCGGGCCUCGCGCCAUCAGAUGAACCCAUAUGGGAUUAGCUAGUAGGUAAGGUAACGGCUUACCUAGGCGACGAUCCCUAGCUGGUCUGAGAGGAUGACCAGCCACACUGGAACUGAGACACGGUCCAG
rnacentral:rRNA from 1 species